GUGAGUCAUGAAUCUUUGAAUCGCACCUUGCGCUCCUUGGUAUUCCGAGGAGCAUGCCUGUUUGAGUGUCAUUAAAUUCUCAACCUUCCAGCUUUUAUUGGCUUGGUUAGGCUUGGAUGUGGGGGUUGUGGGCUUCAUUAAUGAGGUCAGCUCUCCUUAAAUGCAUUAGCGGAACUUUUGUGGACCGUCUAUUGGUGUGAUAAUUAUCUACGCCGUGGAUGUGAAGCAGCUUUAUGAAGUUCAGCUUCUAAUCGUCCAUUGACUUGGACAAUUUCUGACAACUUGACCUCAAAUCAGGUAGGACUACCCGCUGAACUUAAGCAUAUCAAUAAGCGGAGG
rnacentral:rRNA from 1 species